AUUGAACGCUGGCGGCAUGCUUUACACAUGCAAGUCGAACGGUAACAGGGUGCUUGCACCGCUGACGAGUGGCGAACGGGUGAGUAAUGCGUCGGAACGUGCCGAGUAGUGGGGGAUAACGCAGCGAAAGUUGUGCUAAUACCGCAUACGUACUGAGGUAGAAAGUGGGGGACCUUCGGGCCUCACGCUAUUCGAGCGGCCGACGUCUGAUUAGCUAGUAGGUGAGGUAAAGGCUCACCUAGGCGACGAUCAGUAGCGGGUCUGAGAGGAUGAUCCGCCACACUGGGACUGAGACACGGCCCAGACUCCUACGGGAGGCAGCAGUGGGGAAUUUUGGACAAUGGGCGAAAGCCUGAUCCAGCCAUGCCGCGUGUCUGAAGAAGGCCUUCGGGUUGUAAAGGACUUUUGUCGGGGAGGAAAUCCCCAGCGCUAAUACCGCUGGGGGAUGACAGUACCUGAAGAAUAAGCACCGGCUAACUACGUGCCAGCAGCCGCCGUAA
rnacentral:rRNA from 1 species